rnacentral:rRNA from 1 species
ACGGGUGCGUAACGCGUAGGAACGUGUCUUGAGGUGGGGGACAACCCUGGGAAACUGGGGCUAAUACCGCAUAUGUCCUGAGGGACAAAGCAGCGAUGCGCCUUGAGAGCGGCCUGCGUCCGAUUAGGUUGUUGGUGGGGUAAUGGCCUACCAAGCCUGCGAUCGGUAGCUGGUCUGAGAGGAUGAUCAGCCACACUGGGACUGAGACACGGCCCAGACUCCUACGGGAGGCAGCAGUGGGGAAUAUUGGACAAUGGGCGCAAGCCUGAUCCAGCAAUGCCGCAUGGGUGAAGAAGGUCUUCGGAUCGUAAAGCCCUUUCGACAGGGACGAUGAUGACGGUACCUGUAGAAGAAGCCCCGGCUAACUUCGUGCCAGCAGCCGCGGUAAUACGAAGGGGGCUAGCGUUGCUCGGAAUUACUGGGCGUAAAGGGCGCGUAGGCGGCUUGGCCAGUCAGGCGUGAAAUUCCUGGGCUUAACCUGGGGACUGCGCUUGAUACUGCUAGGCUUGAGGCCGAGAGAGGGUGGUGGAAUUCCCAGU